rnacentral:rRNA from 1 species
UACGUAUGGUGCAAGCGUUAUCCGGAUUUACUCGGCGUAAAGGGAGCGCAGGCGGCGCGCCAAGUCUGAUGUGAAACCCCGGGGCUCAACCCCGGGCAUGCAUUGGAAACUGGCGGGCUGGAGUGCCGGAGAGGUAAGCGGAAUUCCUAGUGUAGCGGUGAAAUGCGUAGAUAUUAGGAGGAACACCAGUGGCGAAGGCGGCUUACUGGACGGCAACUGACGCUGAGGCUCGAAAGCGUGGGGAGCAAACAGG